rnacentral:rRNA from 1 species
GACGAACGCUGGCGGCGUGCCUAAUACAUGCAAGUAGAACGCUGAAGAGAGGAGCUUGCUCUUCUUGGAUGAGUUGCGAACGGGUGAGUAACGCGUAGGUAACCUGCCUUGUAGCGGGGGAUAACUAUUGGAAACGAUAGCUAAUACCGCAUAACAAUGGAUGACACAUGUCAUUUAUUUGAAAGGGGCAAUUGCUCCACUACAAGAUGGACCUGCGUUGUAUUAGCUAGUAGGUGAGGUAAUGGCUCAACUAGGCGACGAUACAUAGCCGAACCGAGAGGGUGAUCGGCCACCCCGGGACUGAGACCCGGCCCAGACUCCUACGGGAGGCAGCAGUAGGGAAUCUUCGGCAAUGGGGGCAACCCUGACCGAGCAACGCCGCGUGAGUGAAGAAGGUUUUCGGAUCGUAAAGAUCUGUUGUAAGUCAAGAACGGGUGUGAGAGUGGAAAGUUCACACUGUGACGGUAGCUUACCAGAAAGGGACGGCUAACUACGAG